GAUGAACGCUAGCGGCAGGCCUAAUACAUGCAAGUCGAACGGAAUAUGAUUUUCGGAUUAUAUUUAGUGGCGCACGGGUGAGUAACACGUACAUAACUUACCCUCAAGAGGGGGAUAGCCUCGGGAAACUGAGCGUAAUACCCCAUAGUAUUAUUGAACGGCAUCGUUUGAUAAUUAAAGCUGCGGCGCUUGAGGAUAGAUGUGCGUCUGAUUAGCUAGUUGGUAAGGUAACGGCUUACCAGGGCGACGAUCAGUAGGGGGCGUGAGAGCGUGGCCCCCCACACGGGUACUGAGACACGGACCCGACUCCUACGGGAGGCAGCAGUAAGGAAUAUUGGUCAAUGCCCGGAAGGGUGAACCAGCCAUGCCGCGUGAAGGGAGAAGGCGCUCAGCGUUGUAAACUUCUUUUGGAUGGGAAUAAUAAUGUCGACGUGCUCGGCACUUGAAGGUACCAUCAGAAUAAGCACCGGCUAACUCCGUGCCAGCAGCCGCGGUAAAGUCUGU
rnacentral:rRNA from 1 species